rnacentral:lncRNA from 1 species
CCUGGGAAUGGUAUUUUGGGCUUGUAGGGUGGUGGAACGAAAGCUUUCUUCUUACCCUUAUCAACAGUUGGUUUUUCGAAUUGGGGACUCUUAGCUUGAUCCCUAGGUACAGCAUCUUGGUCAAGCUUAGUGGUGUCUUCUACUUGAGUCUCAUUCUGAAUAGAAUCCUCCCCUUCUUGAAUCUCACUGUCCUCAGUGACAGGAGCUUGGUUAGGUCGAGCACGCAGCUCUCGACCACUGCGGAGUUGAAUAGCAUGAGCAUACUCUUUCGGAUUCUGAAUAGCUUUCCCUGGUAGUUGUCCGGGGUGUGUAGGUGCAGAAGUAGAAGCAGC